CACCCACCGAGCGAGCGAGCUGCGGCUCCGCCGCCCCAUCCGCCCAAGCCCGUCCCCCCGCUGGCCCCGGCGGCGGGGCCGGGCCGGCCGGAGCCCCGCGCUGGCCGCUCACCUGGGCGGAUUUCCUGCAGGGUCCGGACUGCAGGAACCGGGCGAUCAGAUAUCCCGGCCCGAGGCAGCGGCCGAGCAGGGUGUAGCGCUGCCGCCCGGCGCUAGGGGGCGGCCGCCCAGGCAGGUGAAAGUCCAAGCGGAAGGAAGGACGGACGGACUCGGGGGACGUGCUGGGACAGAAGCACGACGCUCUGGUACGAGUAUUCCGGAAACUCGGUGAUUAUGCGGCUUCCGGGUCUGCGUCCUGCGCGCUGUGACUUGGUCCCUCCCCCUGCGGGGGGCGAUGCUGAGUCCCGCCAUUGUAAGCCCUGGCACACAGCGCCCCCUGGCCGCCGGCUGCCCUGUGGCCGGCUGACGUGCUGCCCGGGCGGCCGGCCUCGCGCUGGGCCUCCUCGACCGCGCCCAGCCAGGAGAUCGGGCUGAGCUGGCUCAGCGCAGCCUGACCGAGCUGCCAGUGAAACCCGGUUCGGAAUCCUGGGGCCGGCUGCACCCAGGGGAGGCGGAUGCCUUCAAACAUGGCAGGCCUGUAGGGUCAGAGGUGGUGCCUGCCCAACGGGGGCUCUAAGCAAGAUCACUCCUCCCCCAGGCUGUAAGGCGAGAAGGAACCAUCCUGUUCAUCUGUCUGCAGCAGGCCCAUAACCUGUGCCUGAUCAUCCACCAUUUAUUGUAGUGCUGUCCAGCCAGUGACCUAAUUGUAUUAUUUCCCGGGCCAGACAAUCCAUCAACACAGCACUUAUGUACACGUGUUAAAAAGCCCACAUUAACUAAGAUGAAUGGUAUUUUGGGGAGUAGUACUAAUGGGUGGGAGGGAGCUGAGCUGCGCUGCCUGGAUCCUAAGCAAUUGUUUAGUCUGCUUAUGCCUAAUGUCAUGUCUGCUUAAAUUAAAGGUGCCUUGGUUUUGAUCUGCAUGUCUUUCCCCAUGGUUGAAAUAUAGUGUUUUGAUAGGAAGUGACCUUUACACACACAAAUACACACUUCUAAGUUUUAAGGAAGUUCAUUUAUCCCUUUUUGAGCUAUGUUUUACAUAUCUGUAUGAAUACCUGUUUAUCUCUAAGCAUUUUACAAAGUAUGUAUAAUAUUUUAAGCACCUCUGGUAUAAGAGGCAGGUAUUUCAAGCACUGGGAUACAGAAGAAGUGUGAUUACAGAAGUACAUUACAGUCCUGCUGCCCACACAAGGAAGUAGUUAAGAAAGAGUGAGGCCAAGAACAGACCUUUCUCAGCCCUUAACAUAUAAGACUGAAAUUCAUGAAAUUCAGUUAUUGUUCUACUUUAUUAUAUGAAUGAGAGGUGGAAAAAGUAUUAGGUCAUCUAGUCUAGGCAACCUGAAAAGAGGUAAAGCUUAGCUGCAGUGGUAACAGCAGUCCAAAGUAAUAGGGAUUUUACGGAUGUGAUGCCUGUUUUUGUAUGCAGUGUUGUAGGUGUGUUAGUCCCAAGAUAUGAGAAAGACAAGGUGGGUGAGGUAAUAUCAUUUAUUAGACCAACUUCUGUUGGCAAGAGAUACAAGUUUUUGAGCUUACACGCUUGUCUCUCUCGCCAACAGAAGUUGGUCCAAUAAAAGAUAUUACCUCACCCACCUUGUCAUGCUUAUUUUUGUUGUUUGACUGGUUACCAAAUAGUUGCUACUGAUAAGUAGGGCUUUGAAGACAAUGUCUGAUCAUUUGAUAGCAUGAAUACAGCAGCCAUUUGGAAAUAAGUAUUAACUUUAAAAAAUAAUGUGCAUUGUUCAUGAGUCAAAGUUUUCUUAAACUAAGAUACACAACAAUGUGCAUGUUAGUGUUUUCUAAUGAUAUAUAAAGAACUUAAAUAGACCUAUAAAUAAUACCAGUAUAUGUUUGUAGUGAUUUACUCUCUGCUAUAACUGUUAAAUAAAGGUAUUCAAGCCACAA